AUUGAACGCUGGCGGCAGGCCUAACACAUGCAAGUCGAGCGGAGGAAGGGAGCUUGCUCCUGGAAUCAGCGGCGGACGGGUGAGUAAUGCCUGGGAAUCUGCCUGGUAGUGGGGGAUAACGUCUCGAAAGGGACGCUAAUACCGCGUACGUCCUACGGGAGAAAGCAGGGGAUCUUCGGACCUUGCGCUAUCAGAUGAGCCCAGGCCGGAUUAGCUUGUUGGUGAGGUAAUGGCUCACCAAGGCGACGAUCCGUAGCUGGUCUGAGAGGAUGAUCAGCCACACUGGGACUGAGACACGGCCCAGACUCCUACGGGAGGCAGCAGUGGGGAAUAUUGGACAAUGGGCGAAAGCCUGAUCCAGCCAUGCCGCGUGUGUGAAGAAGGUCUUCGGAUUGUAAAGCACUUUAAGUUGGGAGGAAGGGGUUGAAGCUAAUACCUUCAAUUUUUGACGUUACCAACAGAAUAAGCACCGGCUAACUUCG
rnacentral:rRNA from 1 species